CUCAGCUCUUUACAUGUCAAAUCUAUUGUUCCUUUUCCGCUUAAUGAGAAUCAAGAUUUUUAGCAAGAGGUCCUUAUUGUCAACACUCAUCUCUUGUUCCCACAUGAUUCUCGUUCAUGUGCUUUUGAUUAUUUAACAUUGAUUGCUGUUGUUCUUUAACAUACGUAAUUGAUUAACGUUGUUCUUACUCGUUAUUUGCUGUUGAUUUUAUUGGUCCUUAACAUAAGUGUUUACUUGUUUUGGUUGCAGAUAAACGAUAAUGGGACGAUACAGUUACAGCCAGCCUUCUUCCUCCUCACACUCUCCAGACUUAACCUCCCUCCUUGAAGCCGAAUGUGAGAUGUACGCGGCUGAAGCUGAGAUUACUCGGUGGAAUGCAGAAGCCAGUGACUGGGAACCAUCAGCAGAGGGUGAUGAUGGCAUCCCAAGGACAUGCUACUGUGGUUCAGAGCCAGUUCACGGAUACUCCCAAACGCCAAAAGAUCCAUACCGACGUUACAUAACGUGCUCCAAUGCCGAUGAUAGAGACUGCCACGUCUGGAAAUGGUGGGACGUGGCGGUGGAGGAGGAGCUGAGAGAGUUUCAGAGGGAGCUUAAUGCGGUUAAGGGUGAAGCGAAUCAACGUGAGCAGAAGUUACUCCGUCUUGAGAAGCAAGUUUCCGAGUUCACAAAGAAGAAAUCAGGAGCUAAGCUAAUGGUCUUCAGCUUAGUGUUAGGGUUGGUGUUGCUUAUUGUGCUAGGUGAGUUACUUCCUUUUAUUUUUUCAUCUCUCAUAUGUAUUAUAAAUAUUGAAAGUGUGUGAAAGUUGAUUGUUUACUCAUUUAUUUUUCAGGAAUACUUGGAAAGGAUUCAGAGGAUUGGGGCGUACGUGCUUUGUUUCUUUAACGAGGUUCGCAUGUGGGAAGGAGUCACGGGUCUUUAUCUGAUGGAGUAGGAAUCACGGGUGAUGGAGUAGGAUUCACGGGUGAUGGAGUAGGAAUCACGGGUGUAGUUGUAUGAGUCACGGGUCACUCUCUCUAGCAUAUGUAUUAUAAGUAGUAGUUGUAGUCUUUGCAGUGUAGUCUCAUUGUUUUCCUCUUGAGAGUCAAGUUCAUGUUUUCAGAGAGUUUCUAAAGUACUCUCAUUGUUUUCCUCGGAUCAUAUGUAACAUUUCACGGAUCAUAUGUAAGCUUCACUUUGUAUCAAAACUUAUGUAACAUUAUAUUCUUCUUUGUAUCAAAACUUAUGUAACAUUAUCUUCUUCUUUGCUUA